CUAGCUACAGGCUUAACACAUGCAAGUCGAGGGGAAACGAUAUUGGAAGCUUGCUUCUGAUAGGCGUCGACCGGCGCACGGGUGAGUAACGCGUAUCCAACCUGCCCAUCACUUGGGGAUAACCUUGCGAAAGUAAGACUAAUACCCAAUGACGUCUCUAGAAGACAUCUGAAGGAGAUUAAAGAUUUAUCGGUGAUGGAUGGGGAUGCGUCUGAUUAGCUUGUUGCGGGGUAACGGCCCACCAAGGCGACGAUCAGUAGGGGUUCUGAGAGGAAGGUCCCCCACAUUGGAACUGAGACACGGUCCAAACUCCUACGGGAGGCAGCAGUGAGGAAUAUUGGUCAAUGGACGAGAGUCUGAACCAGCCAAGUAGCGUGCAGGAUGACGGCCCUAUGGGUUGUAAACUGCUUUUAUAAGGGAAUAAAGUGAGUCUCGUGAGGCUUUUUGCAUGUACCUUAUGAAUAAGGACCGGCUAAUUCCGUG
rnacentral:rRNA from 1 species